AGCAGAGUUUGAUCAUGGCUCAGGACGAACGCUGGCGGCGUGCUUAACACAUGCAAGUCGAGCGGUAAGGCUCCUUCGGGAGUACACGAGCGGCGAACGGGUGAGUAACACGUGAGCAAUCUGCCCUUCACAUCGGGAUAACUCCGGGAAACCGGUGCUAAUACCGAAUACGACCACUUCAGGCAUCUGAUGGUGGUGGAAAGUUCAGGCGGUGAAGGAUGAGCUCGCGGCCUAUCAGCUUGUUGGUGGGGUAACGGCCCACCAAGGCAACGACGGGUAGCCGGCCUGAGAGGGUGACCGGCCACACUGGGACUGAGACACGGCCCAGACUCCUACGGGAGGCAGCAGUGGGGAAUAUUGGACAAUGGGCGAAAGCCUGAUCCAGCAACGCCGCGUGAGGGAUGACGGCCUUCGGGUUGUAAACUCCUUUUGGGGGGGAUGAUAAUGACAGUACCCCCCGAAUAAGGCUCGGCUAACUCCGUGCCAGCAGCCGCGGUAAUCAAUCGCC
rnacentral:rRNA from 1 species